CCUCAACCACUCUCUGUCGGUGUCCCCCAAGGUUCUGUCCUUGGUCCCCUACUGUUCUCUAUCUAUACUGCCUCCCUUGGUAAACUCAUCAGCUCCUUUGCCUUCCGUUAUCAUUUCUAUGCGGAUGACACGCUAAUCUACCUGAUCUCUCUCCACCCAUCUUGACUCAUGUCUCUGACUGCCUCUCUUCGAUUUCCAACUGGAUGGCUGCUUACUUCCUU